rnacentral:rRNA from 1 species
AUAUUGGACAAUGGGCGCAAGCCUGAUCCAGCCAUGCCGCGUGAGUGAUGAAGGCCUUAGGGUUGUAAAGCUCUUUCAGUAGGGAAGAUAAUGACGGUACCUACAGAAGAAGCCCCGGCUAACUUCGUGCCAGCAGCCGCGGUAAUACGAAGGGGGCUAGCGUUGUUCGGAUUUACUGGGCGUAAAGCGCACGUAGGCGGGUCGUUAAGUUAGGGGUGAAAUCCCAGGGCUCAACCCUGGAACUGCCUUUAAUACUGGCGACCUAGAGUCCGGAAGAGGUGAGUGGAACUCCUAGUGUAGAGGUGGAAUUCGUAGAUAUUAGGAAGAACACCAGUGGCGAAGGCGGCUCACUGGUCCGGUACUGACGCUGAGGUGCGAAAGCGUGGGGAGCAAACAGG